CUCCAUUUGUGUCAAUAAGUGAUCUCAUGACCUCAGAGCGUUCUCUUUGGGUCUCCUCUGCAGGAAGCCCAGCAUGGCUCCAGGACAGGCACGUGGAAUAUGGAAACCUGGAAGGGGAGCAUCCCAGGAAGGUGAAAUGGCACCGCUGAUGUCAGAGUUGGGAAGGCUGUCAUGGACCAGAGCAAGCAGGGGAGAAGAUGGAUGGCUCCAGGAUUCAGGGAACAUGCGACCGCAGAUUCACAGAUCACCCGGUGUCAGCCGUGUGUAAAGCAGAAGGACCAGUCCAGCAGUCACUCACUCCUCAGGGAAGAUGGCUUCCUGUGUGUGAACUUCCACUUUGACCCAAGGCUUCCCCAGCUGGCCUGGAGUCCCCACAGACCUGGGAGAUUGAUGCAUGGUUCCAUGUGGCCAUAGAACCUCCUUCCUGGAUGCAGGAUUUCUAGGUGUGAAUCUGGGAGAGCUGUUCCUGGAGCCCCUGGCCCAUGAGGCUCAGAUCCUUGAUGCACAGCCUGCUUCUAAGCCUCAUGGACUUUGACUCACUGUGAUUCCCCCACGGUGACCUCAUCAGCUUAUCUCAGGCUCAAAAACAUGCCAGCACUGCUCUUAACUUUAUAAGUGUUGGCAAGGUGUCAGACACUUGGUUUUCACAAAUGUCUUUGUCCCCUUAAAUUCCAGGGGAGGUGCCAAAAAGUGGCAUCCUAUCCACAGCCCAGGACUUGGAGGAAGUUACUUCUCACACUUGCCAACUCAGGUGUUUGAAGAACUGAGGUAGUGUUCUAAGCUGUUUGUGUGUAUUCUCUCAAUCCUCACAGAAUCCCAAUCAGGUAGGGGCUAUCAUCUCCACAUUUUGUUAAUGUGGAAACUAAGGAACAGAGAGGUUGAGUAAAUUAUCCCAAACUACACAGCUAAUUGAGGGAGUUUGAGGCUGUCCCAAAUGACAAUGAUGGCUCCCAAUUGCUUCAACUUGGUAUUCAAGACUAUGUCUACCAUACAGACUUUUUCUCUUUCUUUCCCUGACAACUUCCUCCUAGUUACUGAGUUAGAAUUUCAAGAGAAAAAUAAAUAAG